rnacentral:lncRNA from 1 species
AGGUUAGUUCUUCGGAAAACUUGUUUAUUGAAAGAGGCACUCCACACUUCGCGAACGCUGUCCAUCUCCACCUGAAUUCCAUGAAUUCCCACUCCAGGAGUUGUGACGUCUACGAUUCAGUAUAUGCAAGAGUUAGAGAUGCAAACUUUUGAAUACAAGACUAUACAACUUUCCUUCAUGAUAAAGUUGCAAGCCAACAAGGACUAGACAAUUUAUCAUGAUAAAGUUGCAAGCCAACACACAAAAACCCGAAAAGAUUAGCCCACCAUUUUUAUUUCCUUUACUAAAUCUACCUUAGACCUCUUCUUUUAUUUUUAAAAGCAUUAUAAUAAUUUUCUACUCUCAAAAACUUAAUUCCUAUGAAUUAAUAAUAAUUUGUGGAUAAUAAAACAUUUUUCAAGUUUUAUACAUUUAAUAAAGUUUAAGCAUUUAUUUAAAUACCUUAGAUAAAAAGGCAUUAAACAAAUACCUAAAUUUUUAUUAUUUUUCCUAGGGUUUAAGAAUUUUAAUGCAUAAAGGAAAAUAAAACAAUCCUAAUAAAAUUGGUUUCACUAAUUUUGGGCACUUCUAGAAUUUCCUGGAAUUUAAAUGGUGCAAACCCUAUUUAAUCUAUUUAUCUAAUAAAAGAAAACCUAAAGUUUAAUAAAAACCCCCGGCCCAAACUUUCCUCACCUAACCUUCUUCUACCCACUAUCACUUCCACCUAGGGCCCAUCCGGUCUCUUAUUUUCUUCCUCUUUUCUUCACUAACACGUGGGGCCCACAGUCGGCACCCUUCCUCGGGCCAAAAGGUGGCCCGCUAACCUUUAACCUUCCACGUGUGGGCCUCCUUGCGCAGCUUCUUUUUGGGCCGGCUUCCCCCUUCUUUCUCCUCUUUCUUAACCGCGGGCGGCCCACCUUCUCGUUUCUUUUUCCCACGACCGGCCUGCUAAUCCGGCCCAUGGCCGUCCUUUUACUCACCGGCCCACCUUCUCUUUCUUUACUUCAACCUGGGCCGCACGGUCUACUUUCUUUUUAAAUCAACAGUCGGCCCACCGGUUUUUUUCUUCUUCAAAGGUCACCGGUCCAACCAAAGCUCGCGCACUAAUGGGCCUCCUUUACCGCGACUGGGCAACACGGCCCAAGUAACACGACCGGCCUGUCUUUCCCUCUUUUCUUCUUAUCACGCCGCGCGGCUAGCUGGGCCGAUUCCCUUCCUUGGCCCAAGACGGCGCUGGCCCUCUCUUCCUUUUCUGAUUAUGCCGCGCGGGCUUAGCUGGGCCGGCGCUUUUCCUGGCCCAUGACGGACGGCUGGCCUGCUUCCUUCUCCCCUUUCUCUUCACAACUCCCUGGCGCAUCUUCUUCCUUGCGCCACAACAGGGGCACACGCCGGCGGGCAAAACGGGACGGGGUCCCGGCCAACGGCGGCUUGCCGGCGGCCGAGAGGGACGGGGUGGCGGCGCCCCAGGCCAGGCGCGCCCGCGCCCACUUCCAGCUCGCCGGGAGGUGGCCCGAGCCGGCCCCUCCACGGGCGGCCGCGGCUUGGCCAUCGGCCGGCCAUGGCGGCGCACGGAGGCGGCACAAGCUGUUCCCCUGACUUCCCCAACAGCUCCCACAUCCUAGCAGGACGCCCCUAAGCCCGCUAAUUAAGAAGAACAUUCGGUUCAGGAGCUCACCUUGGGGAAUUAGGUGACGGCGGCCGGCGGACAGUAACGGCGGCGAUUCGAAGCUUGCCGGCAGGGAGACGAGCAACGGUUAGGCUUGGGCGUCGUGGUGGGGCUAGUGGAGCUACUUGCUGGCGGUGACGCGAAGGGCAACGGCGGCAUGGGUGUUGGCCGGCGCUGGCGCUAGCUUGCUCGAGCUCUGUUCGUCAUGGUGAAAUCCAACGGGAUAAACGGAUAGGCACAGAAGCUUGAUUUAUCCAAAUUGUUACCGUUUGCAUGCCAUCCACCUCGACUUGUGGCAGAUGCAUGUAGAUGCAACCGUGGAUUAACUUGUUGCGCUGGCCGAUGCUUCGAGAUGCCAGUGACGAUAUGGCUCUGCCUGUCGCCUCUGUUCUUAUCUCUUCCUUUCAAAACAAUCUGUUCAUCCCUCCCUUGCUCAAGAUAUUCCAUCUCAACUCGUAGAACUCCCUUAAGCAAUCUUGUAGAUUAAUCCGAGCACUACAUUUGAUAGAUUGGCCUCCAACCGAAUUAAGCACCCUAAGGUCGAGAUUUUUGGAGCUCCAAGUUUCUGUCAACUUGUACUGAACUUCAACGAUUCAGUUCGACAGUUCACAAAAUGUGGUCAUUUACCCUUCUUUGGCACCAAUUUCAGUAGCCCAACUGUAUUCCCUAUAGGCCAACCACUCCCUAUUUGUGUUCUACAACUAAUAAGGAUUCCAUUUUGCACCAGAAACC